rnacentral:rRNA from 1 species
CCUACGGGUGGCAGCAGUGAGGAAUAUUGGUCAAUGGGCGCGAGCCUGAACCAGCCAAGUCGCGUGAGGGAAGACGGCCCUACGGGUUGUAAACCUCUUUUGCCGGGGAGCAACGGGCGCCACGUGUGGCGCCACUGAGAGUACCCGGAGAAAAGGCAUCGGCUAACUCCGUGCCAGCAGCCGCGGUAAUACGGAGGAUGCGAGGGUUAUCCGGAUUUAUUGGGUUUAAAGGGUGCGUAGGCGGAGCGUUAAGUCAGUGGUAAAAUUGAGGGGCUAAACCCCUUCCCGCCAUUGAAACUGGCGCUAGUGAGUGGAAGAGAAGUAUGCGGAAUGCGUGGUGUAGCGGUGAAAUGCAUAGAUAUCACGCAGAACCCCGAUUGCGAAGGCAGCAUGCCGGCUUCCGACUGACGCUGAAGCACGAAAGCGUGGGGAUCGAACAGGAUUAGAUACCCCAGUAGUC